CGAAGGCUGCUGGAGGCCGACGACUCGACGAUGGAGCCUCCUGCGCAAUGAGAGAAAAGGGAUUAAAGAGCAAACCGUUCCUCCUCGCCGGGCCUGCGGCGCACGCCUCCCGGCAGGCAGAGAGCCCCGGUGCCGGAGGUUUCUUCACUACUGCCCUGGGAAUAUUUGGAACAAGCCAGAGAUGAGAUCAAUCUACUGAAAAAAAAUGAUACACUGUCCUCAUUAUAGUCUCAAGACAACCACUUAGAGUACGUCUUUGCUACAGAAAAAAUCUAGGCUCUUACUCCUGUCCUGUUCUCUGUCAGUUCCAGUUGUCACAGAAGACCUUCUCACCUGAGUUUGGUAGUGUAUUCAGCAAGAAAAAAAAUGUUUUUACAGAUCUGCCUUUCCCCUUAAGAAUUCACUGAUCUUCAAACAUUUUCAUUAUUCAUUCGAAUUUCUUCUUACCAUCUCCACUUGGUUUGGGCUGGUACUCUAGUUGGUGUGUUUUGGGGUCCUUUUGUGUCACUUAUAGUCUCCUGCAUCUGCUGGCUUCUAAUCAUUGAAAGACAAAGGUACUUCUGUCCCUUCCUGGUGAUAACCUAGUCAGUUGUCCACCUAGAAAAUACCUCAAAAGUCCUUGAAGUUUUGUCUCCCAUCAAAUACGCGCACAAAGUGUUCAACAUGCCAGAAAUUAUUUGUCACACUGCUGUCCACCAAAUCUGUCAUCUGUAUUUUCUGAGAAAGGCCAAUACAGGAGGAUACAGGAUGCUCUGAAGAGGUUUCAACAGAGAAAUUUCUUCCUAAUCCCUUCAGUUAGAGUGAUGUGAGUCCUCAAACAUGACAGUCUGUAUCACCUUCAAACUUCAAAAGCAAAUUCUGUAUAAUAUAUCUGGAACUAGAGAAAAUGUUAAUACAGAAUCCCCAGGUAUCUCAUCUACAUGGGCUUUCAAAAGGAAAAUAGCUGCUGCUUUUGGAAAAUAGAAGCCAUUGAGAGAAAGGCUUCCGGAAUGAAAUUUGCUCUGUAUUAAAUAGCAAUAAUGACCUUGAAUCCAACAUAUAUUGUAUCACGUUGUUAUUGGAACCUGCUGCACAGCUGCAAAACUGUUUUAGGCUGUGAAGGUCAUUCUGUUAUUCGUCUGUGUGUUCUUUUAAGGUACAUGCUUGUAAACAAGGUUGGUUACCUGUGAUCUGUCAGUGCAAGAAAUACAGCAGUCUAUAUUGUACUCCUUCACCUCUCUUUUGCUCAAUAACUUCUGCAUGUUUAUAUACUAAGAUUUCACUUGCUUUGAGAUUCCUGAAAGCUCAAAAAUGUGUUCUUUAAAGUACACUGGAAUCUAGAUUUAUAACAUGGUCUCUUGAACGUGCCAUGGGUAUGUGGUGCAAAGAAAAUCUGCAAAUUUGUUGUUUAAGAUUUUUGAACUAAAUAGCUGGCUCUGACCACUAGUUCUGUGCCAUGUUAAAACACCCUUGUGAUAUUCCAGAAGUACAAAGGAGUCUUAUGGACAUCCUGAAAAAGAACAUGAAAUUUCUCAAGAUAUGGAAAGAACCUUGGCUGAGCUGACAGUCUUCCUUCCCCAUGCAAUUCAUCUGGCAUAGAAGACACAAGACAGGAAUGAAAAGGGGAUAGUAUUCAGAAACUCUGCAUGACAAAAUGAGUCUUAUCCUUCUCAUUCUAGUCAGACUUCACAAAACCAUGCUCAAAAAAUGCCUGUAUUUUAUUUUUCACCAGACCAAUCUGGAGAACAUUUCAGAGAAACUACGUAGACUAAAAGAUUGCCAGAUGCCCUCUCUGCCUGCAAAAAUCAUCAAGAUAAGGCUUCAACUGAAUUGAUGCAAGUGCUUGGAUUCUUGGAGAAAGUGUACUAAUUAUGUUUUUUGGGGAAAUGAUUUGAUAAUUAAGCACAGGAAAAGUUUAAAAGAAGCACACACAAUCUAUUCUGAUUAGAUGAAGAAUCCCUGCAAAAGCAAUCUUAGACCUAUGUUCUGAAACUGGUAACUGGACAACAUACAGCUAUGUUUAGACUUAGAGAAAAUAGUGAGAAAAUAUUUUUGUUGUGAAGUGUGAAACAGCUGGCUUAUAACAGAAUCUGUUGACCUGCAGUGUCAUUAUUUUUAAAAAAACAUUUGUGUAUUACAGCAGGCUAAUAGAAAUGUUUGGCUGGAAGUGCUAAGCAUUACAAUUACAAAGUAUUACUUUGAAGUAUUAUUGAUUACUAUACAAUAACUGAAAAAUAGAACAGACAGAAGUAUUUGUGCACCAGCAGUUCCCAGAUUAACUCCAAGCUCCAAAUGACAAAUAAUCAAUUCAUUUUAUUUUGAUAGCUCCAUACAUAGUAGCCUAGGCACAUUCUGUUCUAUGGGAGCUGCUGAGUGCUAUGGACUUCUAAAAAGCUUGGUGUUUAAAUGAGAUGACUAAUUAUAGAUUACAAAUGUCAUUUGGUGAGAAUACAAUUAAUUGUAAAAACUUUGUAUUGGAACUGCUGCCUUCAGCUUGGGACAGCAAUAGUGGAACAGCGCUAGCUUUUCAGUAAUGCCUGUACGCAGUUUCUGAAACUAGAUGGUAUAUGAAAAGGGAGAUGUUAAAACCAGACGAGUUCAGAGCAUGAGAUUUACCAGUUCAUGUAACUGCACCUUAUCUUUCUUUUCCUUCAGAACUGGUUACUUGCAGCCACGUUAAUUAGCAAGUUGCAAAUUCAAUAGCGAGCAGAGGUAAUGAGAGCAGUUGUGCUUACAGCAGGGAGGCAGUCUUCAGGGUGCAAGUCGAAUCACAGAUUGCUUUCUUCUUGCAUUCACGUUGCCGUCAUCAGUAAACCAUGUCUUCCUUUGAGGAGUCGGGAUCUGUUGAAUUAAAUAGAAGAUAUGCAAGACAGAACUUGUGUUUCAGAAGUGACUACCAGUCUGCAAACUACUACAGGAAAAGAAGAAAAUUGAACUGGUCAUCAUAAUCAGGAAUUUGGCUAUCAGUGAUAGAGUCAUUGGUGCAAACACUGAAAACUCAACCACAUUAACAUUCACUGGACAAUGCAAAAUCAUCCAAAUUUCUGCUUUGGCUGUGGAGGUCAGCACCAGUGGGUUUUAUAUCAAUUUAAAGAUUCCAAGUGGUGUUCCUACAGUCAGUUGAGCCCACUCAAGAGUAUGAAACAGAAUCACCUAACAAAGAUUCUCAUCUGAAAGCAUCAAACAAGUAUUUAACAAUAGGAUAAAGAAGAUUUGUCAUAUUUAGAAGGUACACAGUGAAGAAUAUAAAGGCUCUGAAAUGUUUACAAGAAUGAUCGUUAGCAGUGACAUGGGUAGACAUGUCUCUGAUGCUGAUUGUCCUUGAAGACUCAACCUUUUAUUUUUGCAUUUUCCAAGCUGCAUGAUCUGCUAACCUUCAAGGCCAUUAUGGUAAGAAAUUCAUAUUAUGAGAAACCUAGAUAAACUUUUUCUACCUUUCUUUCCAAGGAAAUCACUUUUCACUAUUACAAGAGAAUUAGGAAUCAACAUCCAAGCUGUCAAUGUUGUUAGUGAAGAUUGCCAACUCAUUAAUAACUAACUAAUUGAAAUUGCUUUUGGAGAUGAGAGGCCUCUGAAGUUUCUGGAUCAUCAGUGUUGCUCCAUUUGGAUCCAAAAGUCAUGUCAAUUUACAGAAAGACUUGUAUAUAUACACCUUUUGUCUUGAGUCAGCUGAUGCUAGAUCUGAGUAUUUCAUGGAACAAGGAGUUAUUAAGGUGAUCACACAAUUGGCUCCAUCUUUACAAACUGUAUUAUUCCUUAUACAAGCUGAAAGGUAGUGUGUGAGCACACUCAAGUAGCAUCAGUGCCUCGUCACUGCUUAUAAUUAGCUGUCUUACCAGGUAGAAGAUGUGUCUUUGCAGAAUUUGAUUUUACACAGGCAGCAGCAACAGUUUAUAAACAAUAAAGAGUCUGCAGAUGCUCGGAUUAUCACCUCCAAUUGUGGAGCUUUCUCAGUCAAGCAUCUCAAAUUUGAUGUUUCCAUGGUUCCAGGAAUUUUGUAACACUUCACAUAAACUAUUUUCCAGAAUUCCAACUGUUCAGUACUGUGAUUAUGUCCUGAUGCUGGGUUCAGCUAGCUGUGAACUUGCUAAGUGUUUUUGGGAAAUUUUAAGCUGCUCGUAAAGUCAUGUAUCUGAAGUAAGAGGAGAAAAUAUGAGAUUGGGGAAAAAGCAAUGUCACUUUCUUGAGAUGUGUGACCUUCUCUGACUGAAGAUAACUGUGUGCUCACAGUGUCCCGGAACUGAAAUUCAAUCGGUAAUUUAAUGAUCAAUAGAGAUACUGCCUGAAGUGAUCAAACA